UUGUUCAUUGGCCUAAUAUCUAUGCUAAAAUUGGAACGAUGCAGAGGAAGUUAGCAUGCAACCUACUCCAAGAUGACACACGAUGCAUAAAAUGUCCCAUACUCUU